UCUGUCUCUGUCUCAAAAAUAAAUGAAAACAUUUAAAAAAAUUAAAUGGACAGUGCGUAGGACUGAAUCAGAGAGGCUGAGAUGAUGUCCACAUGGUUGUGGGGAAUAACUUACAGGUGCAGGGGUCUGGGAUUUUACCUGAGAACAAAGCAGGAGAUGCCGUUGAGCCACACUGCUCGCUUCACCGCAGUCCGGUAGAAUUUUCAUAUUAGCGGAGUGUGGCCCAAAGAAUGUUGGAAGGAUCUCUGGCGAACGGAACACUGGCUCUGCAUUUACAAAGAGGGGCGGCCUCCGCUGAGCCCUCCCCCUUCACACCUUCUUCAUCGUUCACUCCAACAAACCCAAGCGCACACGGUUUAUGAGACCGUGCCGCUGGCCUGGCCAGAAACCUGUGUACCUACAAUGUCCGAGGCCUCGAUGUGGAGUCGCUGGCCGGUGUCCUGUCCCCAGCCCUGAUCCCGCUUUGGCACCUGGGCUCACCUUGUAGAUACUGUUUGCGACACACCUGCUGCAUUUUCUUCCUGCAGCUGCUCCUUCCUACGUGGGAGAGCGAUCAGCUAUCCGGAUGGCAUCGACUGCUCUCGGCCCGUGGGGAAACAAGAGACAACAAUUCCCACCCAGGAGGAUUUUGUGUUCCAAAGUGGGGGGGGGGGGCAAAAAAUAAA